UACGAAGGGUGCAAGCGUUACUCGGAAUUACUGGGCGUAAAGCGUGCGUAGGUGGUUUGUUAAGUCUGUUGUGAAAGCCCCGGGCUCAACCUGGGAAUGGCAAUGGAUACUGGCAAGCUAGAGUGCGGUAGAGGGUAGUGGAAUUCCCGGUGUAGCGGUGAAAUGCGUAGAUAUGCGGAGGAACACCAGUGGCGAAGGCGGCCACCUGGACCGUCCCUGACGCUCAAACACGAAAGCUAGGGUAGCGAACGGG
rnacentral:rRNA from 1 species